GUUUUUAAGUGACGGCUAGCUCAGCCUCCUCUCGGGUUCAACAGCGCCGCACUUCCUCCUCCUCCCCCCUCUGUCCUCUGCAGUCUCUCUAAACAGGUUCAGCUGAUUCCCGUGUUGGCGUCAAAGCAGCAGGAGCUACCUAGAAUCGUGGCAUCGGCACCGAGCUGUGGCACCCCCCAAAUGCUGCAGCAUUACCCACAAAUGCUUCGGCGUAACCUCCAAAGUAAGGAAAGGAUGUAGUGCAGAAUUUUACCUGA